AUUAGGGCUAAUUGAUUAUCGAUCUCCCGAUCUAUCAUAUUUAUCUUCGCUCAAUCAAGUUAUUACAAAUAAAAUGGUUGAUAAUAUGCAGAGAGCAAAUUGGAAAGAUCCUGAACUUUUAAAAUUAUAUUUAGAUGCUUGUAUUGAAGAAGAUAGGAGCGGAAAUAAAAAUGAAAAUGUUUUUAAGAAACGUUCCUGGGAUAUAAUUAGCAAUAGUAUUAAGGAGAAAAAAGGACUUAUAUUGAGUCAAAAAUAGUUAAAAAAUCAAUGGGAUUACUUGAAAAAAAAGUAUGGCAUUUAGGAGAAAAUAAUUAAUAAAACUGGAAAUGGAUAUGAUCCAAUUACAAAUACCGUUGGCUGGACUUCUGAAGAGUGGGAAGAAUAUAUUAAGGUUCAUCCUGAUGCAAAACAAUUCAGAUAUGCUGGACUACAAUAUGCAGAUAAGAUGAA